UACAGAGGGGGCAAGCGUUAUUCGGAAUUAUUGGGCGUAAAGGGCGCGUAGGCGGCAUGUUAAGUCGGCUGUGAAAGCCUGGGGCUCAACCCCAGAGGGUCGGCCGAUACUGGCAAGCUAGAGUACGGAAGAGGUAGCUGGAAUUCCUGGUGUAGCGGUGAAAUGCGCAGAUAUCAGGAAGAACACCCGUGGCUAAGGCGGUUCUCUAGUACGGUACUGACGCUGAGACGCGAAAGCGUGGGGAGCGAACAGG
rnacentral:rRNA from 1 species